UUUAACCCCUCUCGAGACCGCAAACCCUAACCCUACCUUCUUCCUCCCUCGCGCCGCCAUCUCUCCUGCUUCCCUUCUUUUUCUCUGUGAAGCCCGAGCACCACCGUCGGCCUCGCCAUGGCGCCGCCGCUCCCAGGCUCCCCCCACCGUUCUGAGGGCACCAUCAGGUGCGCCCCGUCGUCCUCGUCAUCCUCGUCAAAGGAAUCGAGUUGGUUCCGCUCCAAUCGACGCCAAGGUCGCCAAUUCUCCGCUACGGCCGUCGCGCUCCGGCGAAGAUUCCGGCGAGCAUGGACCUCCUCCGCCCCUUCUGAGUACACCACCAAGUUUCUGAUGCUCCCCGCCGGCGCCUCUCCGUCGAUCCCCUGUGCCCGGCGCCGCCCCUCCAUGGUUCUCCGUGUCGACGCGGACCCCCUGCACCAAGCCCCGCUUCCCGGAAUGCCUCCAAUCUCCCGCGCGCAUCAUGUCCGGCCGCGGUGACCAUCGCGCCUGGAACGCGCACGGCGUCGAACGCCUUGCGUGCAAGUAACAGAUGGUUGCCACAUCGGCCGCCACGCUGUCGCCUCGUCAGCCCCGGGCCCCACGCGUCAGCCGCAGCGGCUAGCUGUCGCAUGGCAUUUGCUUCUUCCCGGAUAGGAUCACGAAGUGGUGUUGUAAGAUACGACGAGUUCUCCGACAAGUUCUUCUGCAGCUUUUCACAGGCGAGCCCACCCCUUCACCUAUUUUACUUUUACAUGCUCUUUUGAUCUAUUGCUAUCCUUAUGUUGCGAUUCUGUUGUGUCACGUGUCCUAUCCACCUGUUACCUAUAUGUCCGAGAUACACCUCCUCGCCCUACCUAUUGUUUGUUGUUUGCCAGCCUUGCGAGUCGUAGGCGUGUUUAGGCUCUGUUGUUUAUCUCGAUCUGUUAUCGGGAUAUGUUGGGUUGUUGGGAGGUUUUUACAUGCUAUAUCAUUUGUUGGAGAUAAUCACACUUUACUUUAUUGUUAACAACUAAAAUUGUAAGCAGAGGCAUCUGUGAGCCCCUUUGCGAAAGCAUCGGAACUUUGACUCGCUAAUGUCCCCUAGGACCCGAGUUCUUGUUAUCUGUUCCGAGAUUGAGCGCUCUACCCGUACGUGGGGGAAUGGGACCCCCAUCACCCACUACCUUUCCUCGAGUCUGUUUAUUGGGAGCCACAAUCUUGGUUUUAUUUGCCCAUAUGCACGAUAUGCACGAUUUACUUCCUGUUGCCUUCGGGUGUUUAUUUCUGUACUGUACUCAUAUUGCGUGCCGACUUAUCCUUGGCCGGUCGUUAGUGCCCGCCUUGGACGCCAUCGCAACUCCUGGGUCCGUAUCGGAGUACGGCCGAACUUCGUCACGGGUAGCUUAGUUGGGUAGCUCCCAUUAAACUUUCUCUUGCAUUGGGAACGGUCUUGAUGUGAGACUCCACCUGUAGCAAGUGGGUUCGAGCAUGCGUAUGGUUACAUUUGGGCAACCCCUGCAGGGUGUACAUCUUAUCGAUAAGCCGUGUCCGCGGUUAUGGACGACUUGGAAUUGUAUAGCUUGAUCAUAGAACAACUUACACCUUAUUUCCUGUUGCUAAUAACUUGCUAAUAAAACCUUUUCAAAAUGUGUGUGAGCCUUUGACAGUACCUCUUUGCGAAGGGGGAUCGCAUCGGCUGUGUUAUGUUUGCAGAGUAUAGAACUGUUACCUUGUGCGCUCUCUUAUCUUCUCUGAGUAGAUGGAUGUUGUAGUGAGUCUCUAUUGGAUAGUAGCUUUGCUGCCGCUAAACUCCACAUAUAGCCGGGUGAAGUUUAUACCGCCCACCAGCGAGCAUAGCUGGUCUUGUCUCGCAAGUACGUGCCAAUGGUACUUACCCUCGCCUUCCUUUCUUUUUGUCUCCUCCCCCUUUUGUCGGCAACCGAUGGCCCGACUUUGACAGGUACGAGAUGACGACGUUAGCAAGGUUACCCUUCCGGCUUGGCCUGGGCAGGGUUAUGGACGCCACUGGUUAUCUUCAGGACUCUUAGUCCAAUUUGUAUCUUGUCCGUACUCGGACGUAUUCGAUCUUUUGUAUGAUUUGGAUCUUUGUAUUGUAUAUUUGUAUCUUGACUCGUUGGAGUCGUUGUUGUAAUAUAUGUAUCUUGUGGGCUCUAUUGUAAUCCUGUUGUAAUGU